rnacentral:misc_RNA from 1 species
GAUGAAGAACGCAGCGAAAUGCGAUAAGUAAUGUGAAUUGCAGAAUUCAGUGAAUCAUCGAAUCUUUGAACGCACCUUGCACCCUUUGGUAUUCCGAAGGGUAUGCUCGUUUGAGUGUCAUUGUACUCUCACACUUCUAAUUCCUUUCGGGAUUGGGAGCGGUGGACUUGGGUGUUGCUGCUUUAGUUGUGGCUCACCUCAAAUAAGUUAGUGCAACUCUUGGUUGGACAUAGUACGGCGUGAUAAGUGUCUUCGCCGGCGCCUCUGUAAGGAGGGUGGCCGAUCGGGUGCUCUGUGCUUCAAACCGUCUUCUGACAAUCUUUGACAACUUGACCUCAAAUCGAGUAGGACUACCCGCUGAACUUAAGCAUAUCAAUAAGCGGAGGA